rnacentral:tmRNA from 1 species
GGGGUUGACUGGAUUUGACAGCGAGGGAGUUGAAAUGUAAGCAUGCCGAGUGUUGUGAAUAUGACUCGAAAAUCCUAAUUCUCACAGCUAUGUAAAUGGCGAAAACAAUUAUGCUCUCGCAGCUUAAUUCUACAAAGUAGAAUAAGCCUAAUCCCGGAACUAGGUUUUGGGACGAGACAUUCCGCAGAAGGACAAGCCUUGUUCCUCACUGAUUACGGGGUGUAGCUAACUCAGGGACCGCUUUUUUCGCGCUUCGAGAAAAAAGUUAAAUAAAGAAGCUAAGGAAAAUGUUUGGGUGUCUUUUCCCGUUCAUUUUCUCGAAAAUUAAAAAAAGAAUAAGCAUGUAGAAAGCCUUUUGGCUACUUGUUUGGACGAGGGUUCGAAUCCCUCCAGCUCCACAA